GCCCUUAUAGCUCAGUGGUAGAGCGCAUCACUCGUAAUGAUGAGGUCCAUUGUUCAAUCCAGUGUGAGGGCA
rnacentral:tRNA from 1 species